UACAUUUGAUCCAAGGUAUCAGCAAACAUUAAAGAAAAGAAGAAGAUGAAGAAAAAUGAUGAGCAUCGAUCAAUGCAAAGAAAAUUAACAGGGAUCGAAGGUGGUUUGGUCUCCAGACAAGUUUUUUGGGUGCCCCGUGUUGGAAGCCAUUGGCUUUUUGUUAGUUGUGUGGGACAACACUGCCGUUAAAAGCCCAUGAAAUUGAGGUGUUACGUCGUCGAGGACUACUUGGAGAGGAGGCCGCGUGUGU
ensembl:ncRNA T22E5.8 ncRNA